rnacentral:rRNA from 1 species
AUUGAACGCUGGCGGCAGGCUUAACACAUGCAAGUCGAACGAUGAUUAUCUAGCUUGCUAGAUAUGAUUAGUGGCGGACGGGUGAGUAACAUUUAGGAAUCUGCCUAGUAGUGGGGGAUAGCUCGGGGAAACUCGAAUUAAUACCGCAUACGACCUACGGGUGAAAGGGGGCGCAAGCUCUUGCUAUUAGAUGAGCCUAAAUCAGAUUAGCUAGUUGGUGGGGUAAAGGCCCACCAAGGCGACGAUCUGUAACUGGUCUGAGAGGAUGAUCAGUCACACCGGAACUGAGACACGGUCCGGACUCCUACGGGAGGCAGCAGUGGGGAAUAUUGGACAAUGGGGGCAACCCUGAUCCAGCCAUGCCGCGUGUGUGAAGAAGGCCUUUUGGUUGUAAAGCACUUUAAGCAGGGAGGAGAGGCUAAUGGUUAAUACCCAUUAGAUUAGACGUUACCUGCAGAAUAAGCACCGGCUAACUCUGUGCCAGCAGCCGCGGUAAUACAGAGGGUGCGAGCGUUAAUCGGAAUUACUGGGCGUAAAGCGAGUGUAGGUGGCUCAUUAAGUCACAUGUGAAAUCCCCGGGCUUAACCUGGGAACUGCAUGUGAUACUGGUGGUGCUAGAAUAUGUGAGAGGGAAGUAGAAUUCCAGGUGUAGCGGUGAAGUGCGUAGAGAUCUGGAGGAAUACCGAUGGCGAAGGCAGCUUCCUGGCAUAAUAUUGACACUGAGAUUCGAAAGCGUGGGUAGCAAACAGGAUUAGAUACCCUGGUAGUCCACGCCGUAAACGAUGUCUACUAGCCGUUGGGGUCCUUGAGACUUUAGUGGCGCAGUUAACGCGAUAAGUAGACCGCCUGGGGAGUACGGCCGCAAGGUUAAAACUCAAAUGAAUUGACGGGGGCCCGCACAAGCGGUGGAGCAUGUGGUUUAAUUCGAUGCAACGCGAAGAACCUUACCUGGUCUUGACAUAGUGAGAAUCCUGCAGAGAUGCGGGAGUGCCUUCGGGAAUUCACAUACAGGUGCUGCAUGGCUGUCGUCAGCUCGUGUCGUGAGAUGUUGGGUUAAGUCCCGCAACGAGCGCAACCCUUUUCCUUAUUUGCCAGCGGGUUAAGCCGGGAACUUUAAGGAUACUGCCAGUGACAAACUGGAGGAAGGCGGGGACGACGUCAAGUCAUCAUGGCCCUUACGACCAGGGCUACACACGUGCUACAAUGGUAGGUACAGAGGGUUGCUACACAGCGAUGUGAUGCUAAUCUCAAAAAGCCUAUCGUAGUCCGGAUUGGAGUCUGCAACUCGACUCCAUGAAGUCGGAAUCGCUAGUAAUCGCAGAUCAGAAUGCUGCGGUGAAUACGUUCCCGGGCCU